GGAGUCUAGCAUGUGCGCGAGUCAUUGGGAUUCUGUGCUAAACCUAAAGGCGAAAUGAAAGUGAAGGCGCGCCUCGCGCGCGCCUAGGGAGGAUGGGCGGGAGCAAGCGUCCCGCCCCGCACUCCCGGGGCGUCUCGUUCUCAUCGCGAGAAGAGGCGCACCCAGAGCGUACACGCUGGGACCCGAAAGAUGGUGAACUAUGCCUGGUCAGGACGAAGUCAGGGGAAACCCUGAUGGAGGUCCGUAGCGAUUCUGACGUGCAAAUCGAUCGUCGGAACUGGGUAUAGGGGCGAAAGACUAAUCGAACCAUCUAGUAGCUGGUUCCCUCCGAAGUUUCCCUCAGGAUAGCUGGCGCUCGCAAUUUGCGAGUCUCAUCCGGUAAAGCGAAUGAUUAGAGGCAUUGGGGUCGAAACGGCCUCAACCUAUUCUCAAACUUUAAAUGGGUGAGAUCUCCGGCUUGCUUAAAUUGAUACUUUUGAAGCCGCGAGAUCGGAUCAGAGUGCCAAGUGGGCCAUUUUUGGUAAGCAGAACUGGCGCUGUGGGAUGAACCAAACGUGGAGUUAAAGCGCCUAAAUCGACGCUUAUGGGAUACCAUGAAAGGCGUUGGUAACUUAAGACAGCAGGACGGUGGCCAUGGAA
rnacentral:rRNA from 1 species